rnacentral:rRNA from 1 species
AACGAACGUUGGCGGCAUGGAUUAGGCAUGCAAGUCGAGCGAGAAGUGUAGCAAUACACGGAAAGCGGCGGAAGGGAGAGUAAUACGUGGGAAUCUGCCCUUAGACCUGGGAUAGCAGCGGGAAACUGCUGGUAAUGCCAGAUAAUGUCUAUGGACCAAAGGUGUGAUUCCGUCUAGGGAUGAGCCCACGUCCUAUUAGCUAGUUGGUAGGGUAAUGGCCUACCAAGGCGAUGAUGGGUAGCGGGUGUGAGAGCAUGACCCGCCUCACUGGGACUGAGACACUGCCCAGACACCUACGGGUGGCUGCAGUCGAGAAUCUUCGGCAAUGGGCGCAAGCCUGACCGAGCGAUGCCGCGUGCGGGAUGAAGGCCUUCGGGUUGUAAACCGCUGUCGAGGGGGAGCAACUUCCAUAGAGUUAUCUUUAUGGAUUGAGUGAUCCCUGGAGGAAGGACGGGCUAAGUUCGUGCCAGCAGCCGCAGUAA